AUAACUUAUAAUUUCUAUUCAUAUAACCACAUCGGUUGUUUUCAUAAUUGCACAGUUCCCGAAGGCUGCGGAGAUGCGACCCCUAAAGCUACUAGGACCCCUGCAACAAGCACAGCCCCACCUAAGG
rnacentral:lncRNA from 1 species